GCUAAAAUCUGAAAUAACAAUGGUGCCAAAUUUCAUCACACAUGCUGCAUUAAAAUGUGGAAACACUAUGAAAACCCUUUUGUUUUUCACUGGCAUAUUGAAUUUGGAAACAAUAACCCGAGUAUGUUUUGGCACAUUAAAUGCCCACUGAAGUUCGUGCUUCGAGUCCACAAUCAGUUAUCCAAUUACCAAUUGCAGGUUGUUACUAGAAAUCAUUUCCACAGGUAGUAGAUAGGCAUCGGUAUCCGGUUGGGAUCAAUUGGUUAGUUCUGGUUCCAACGCAGCUUCAGUUGUGCUAGCACUGACGGUGCAUGACGGAGCUUCAUACAGAUAUUUUGGUAUAGCACGUGUAUACGUGUACAUCAAAGGUGUACAUACACCGAGACCACCAUUAUGUUGUCUUGUAUCGAAUCCUAAAGGCUGAACUAAACUCCUUGCAAAUGUGAUAACAAAAAUUAGCGUCGUCGAUAAAUUCAAACAAAACAUGAAACAGAAAAUCAUAAGUAUUGAUGGACUAAACACAAAUUCGACCUCACACCCACCACAUAAGGUUGUUUUUUAAUCGCGAGUAACGUCAUGUUUUUGUAAAAGCCUGGAAUGCAAUGGCCGUCACAAGUCACGGAGGUGGUUGUAAUGUACUGUUCUUAUAAUGAAAAAGCGGCUAUUCAAUUUGGCCGUAUAUAAUACGACCGUCGAGUGAAAUUUUAUUUUAUUUGAUUUAUUGUUGUAAAACAGACUUUGGUAUGAGGUAUUUAUAUAAAAAAAAAUAUCUUCCUGAGUUACGCUACGGCGAUUGGAAUUUAAGUUUUUACAAAUGAAAUAUUUAUUAAUAAUAGAUGAUUACUGUAUAAAAUCGAAACAAACAUAGACUAAUAUAUAAUACUGGAAGAUACAAACACUGAAAUGAAAAAUACAAUUAAAUAUAUCGGUAAUAUGAUUAUAUAAACUUCUGUCAACAGAAUUAAUUGCUGAUAUGUUAACUCCUGUCGUCCAAUUAUUCUUUAUUUAAUUGAAAGCUCCAUAGAUGUUAUUUUUAUUAUGUAUUGUUUAUUUUUUUAUCUUUGAAAUAUUGUCUAUUUACGUAUUUUAUCGCGGUGAUAUAUAUUAUUAUUUUCUCCCAAUAUAAGUACAUAUAGCAUUAGGGAGAAAAUAAUAAUAUAAAUCACCACGAUAAAAUCCGUAAAUAGUUUUAUUUGAAAAGUUACUGUAUAAAAUACGAUUUUAAAGCACCUAUCCCGAGGGAGAAGUUAAUAAAUAGAAACAAAAUCAUAACUUUUAUUGAAAAAACUAUAUAUUAUAUUCUUUUAUCGAUCGUCACAUUUACAAAUUACAUUAUAUUAAAUACAGGUAAAAUUCUCAGGCGAUCUUAUUUAUAAUUUUAAAUCUAAAAUUUUGCACAGGCAAAACCGCGUGCAAUAGUAGUGACAUUAACGUAAUGUGAUGAAACUUACUUUUUACCUUAGACCCAACAGGGUAUUGAGCUGGCAACGUCCCAUAGGUUCACUUCACGACCUUGACGACGGUCAAUAGGAAGAGCGGCAACGUCGGUUGUAAUAUGUCAAAUCAUAAAUAAGGCUUCUAUCAAAUACUCAUAACAAUGGAGGUACACGAGUGUACUUUGUUUACCGUUGUUUACUUUUCUUGACGUAAGUGAAGACGCUAUUUCAAGAAAUUUGAAGUGCUAAUUCAUUAAAAUAUGUACGCUUUCAUGACUGUGCCUCAACUUAAAGUUGAGGUUCGUAAAAGAAAUGCGUCAAUUGCCGGAAAAAAAGGCUAAUUUGAUAGAAAGAUUGCAAUCUAAUGACCGGAAUAAAAAUUUUGGUGUUGACUGCGAGAUCCAAGAGGAGAUCGCAUAUCUGAGUCCAGCCACUGAUACUUUCAGAGACAUAAUUGCGGACACUUCUUUACCAAUGAUUACGAGACAAGCAAUACAGGAAUAUUUUGAAAGUUAUGUACCCAUAUGUAAUGAUUAUAAUCUUAGGCAGUUGUUUACAAAGAUGACAGUGUAAAUUUUAUGUAUUUAAAUUGGUAUACCUACACUCAUAUAUCAUGAUAUCUUGAUAACAUUAUAUUAUAUUUUCUUACUACAUUAUUGUUUUUGCAGAUAUAAUACUCAGCAUAAAGGACAACUCCUGUACGAAUUUCGACAUCUUGUGACUGCCCGCUAUUCCACAGAUGGCAUUUAUACCCACUUGCGAGGACAAUGUAAAGCCAGUAUGAAAAAAAUGGUAUACUUUGUGGAUAUAAAAUUAAGUAAAGAUGGAGUAAUUGAAGAAUGCCAUUGCGAUUGUGCUGCAGGCAGUGGUACUCAAGCAUGUUGCAAACAUGUCUCUGUAUUGUUGGAUGGUACACAAAAAAAAUAUUAAAUUGCAUCUGUCAAGUACUCAAAAAUUAAUGACAUUCAAUAGACCCAAGAAAGUAUUUUAUAAUUCACCCAUUGCAGUUCAAAAUUUACCCAACAAGAGAUUGACAUCUUUUACUUAUAACACACUAAAAGAUACUUACUGAUAUUAUGGACAGUUAUGCUGAUUAUGUGAAAAUUUUAGUAAUGGGAUAUGAUGAAAGCUCAAUACCUUUAUUACAGACAUGUGAACCCGCAAAUCCACAUGGCAUUGAAUGGGAUCGUUACACCUAUGUAGAUAGGACUCCAAUAGAUAUUUUACUAGAGAAGCUAUUAUUAAAAAUAUUAUAUCUGAACAAAUUCAGGAAGUGAGAAGAAUACAAGAGCCCAAAGUGAUUCCUCUGAGUGGCAUGAAAGAUCAUGCAGGAUUACUGCCAGUAUGUUUCAUUUAGUGUGCCACAGUAAAGCAUAUAAGUACCAAAAAUAUAUGUAAUCGAUAUGAUUUUGGCCCCUAAAGCUGUGCAGACUAUGUUAGUUGUGCAUAGUAAAAUCCAAGAAACUAUUUCCAUUGCCAAAUAUGAUAGAGAUUAUGGACUAAAAAUAAAAAAAAGUGGAUUCAU